rnacentral:misc_RNA from 1 species
UCUCCGUUGGUGAACCUGCGGAGGGAUCAGUACUGAGUGAGGGCUUCGGUCCGACCUCCAACCCUUUGUGAACCAAACUUGUUGCUUCGGGGGCGACCCUGCCGCUUCGGCGGUGCGGCGCCCGCCGGAGGAUAACCAAACUCUGAUUUAACGACGUUUCUUCUGAGUGGUACAAGCAAAUAAUCAAAACUUUUAACAACGGAUCUCUUGGUUCUGGCAUCGAUGAAGAACGCGGC